GCCCCCAUAGCUCAGCUGGUAGAGCACCUGACUCUUAAUCAGGGCGUCACAGGUUCGAACCCUGUUGGGGGUA
rnacentral:tRNA from 1 species